rnacentral:rRNA from 1 species
AUUGAACGCUGGCGGAAUGCUUUACACAUGCAAGUCGAACGGUAGAGGGGGCAACCCCUCGAGAGUGGCGAACGGGUGAGUAAUAUAUCGGAACGUGCCCAGUCGUGGGGGAUAACGUAGCGAAAGUUACGCUAAUACCGCAUACGAUCUAAGGAUGAAAGCGGGGGAUCGCAAGACCUCGCGCGAUUGGAGCGGCCGAUAUCAGAUUAGGUAGGUGGUGGGGUAAAGGCUCACAAAGCCAAAGAGCUUUAGCUGGUCUGAGAGUACGACCAGCCCAACUGGAACUGAGACACGGUCCAGACUCCUACGGGAGGCACCAGUGGGGAAUUUUGGAAAAUGGACGCAAGUCUGAUCCAGCCAUUCCGCGUGCAGGAUGAAGGCCCUCGGGUUGUAAACUGCUUUUGUACGGAACGAAAAGGUCUCUCUUAAUACGGGGGGCUCAUGACGGUACCGUAAGAAUAAGCACCGGCUAACUACGUGCCAGCCGCCGCAGUAA